rnacentral:rRNA from 1 species
AUUGAACGCUGGCGGCAGGCCUAACACAUGCAAGUCGAACGGUAACAGGAAGCAGCUUGCUGCUUUGCUGACGAGUGGCGGACGGGUGAGUAAUGUCUGGGAAACUUCCUGAUGGAGGGGGAUAACUACUGGAAACGGUAGCUAAUACCGCAUAACGUCGCAAGACCAAAGAGGGGGACCUUCGGGCCUCUUGCCAUCGGAUGUGCCCAGAUGGGAUUAGCUAGUAGGUGGGGUAACGGCUCACCUAGGCGACGAUCCCUAGCUGGUCUGAGAGGAUGGCCAGCCACACUGGAACUGAGACACGGUCCAGACUCCUACGGGAGGCAGCAGUGGGGAAUAUUGCACGAUGGGCGCAAGCCUGAAGCAGCCAUGCCGCGUGUAUGAAGAAGGCCUUCGGGUUGUAAAGUACUUUCAGCGGGGAGGAAGGGAGUAAAGUUAAUACCUUUGCUCAUUGACGUUACCCGCAGAAGAAGCACCGGCUAACUCCGUG